AAGCCUGUAAAAUGUUUGUUCACUUGUAGCAUUAUUUAUGAGCACCAAUUAUUAUCUUGAUUUGUGUGUCAAUGUAUACCCACCAGGACGAGGUUCACGAAGCACAUACUUGUCUUCUUCAGGAUAUUUGAUUUAGAUAUUAAUUUGGUAGUCAAUAAAAAGGGUAUUACCUUCUUCUAUGUCCCUUGAUUAGUAAGAAAAU
rnacentral:lncRNA from 1 species